rnacentral:rRNA from 2 species
GGUUAAGCGACUAAGCGUACACGGUGGAUGCCCUGGCAGUCAGAGGCGAUGAAGGACGUGCUAAUCUGCGAAAAGCGUCGGUAAGGUGAUAUGAACCGUUAUAGCCGGCGAUGUCCGAAUGGGGAAACCCAGUGCAAUUCGUUGCACUAUCGUUAACUGAAUACAUAGGUUAACGAGGCGAACCGGGGGAACUGAAACAUCUAAGUA